AUUGAUAAAUAAAACGAUAUAUCGGAGAUUUGCAUAGCAUAGUGAUAUAAAAAAAAAAAAAACAAUAUAUAAACAAUAUAUAAAUAAUAUAUAUAGUCAAAACGAGCUGGGAAAGAAAAAAUGAGUGUAGAAAAUAUAAACCCGAAUUUGAAGAAGCAUAUGCAAAGUAUCCUAAUAAGAAAAUCAGAUAUACCUCUUUACAACCGAAACAACAUCAUUGACAUAAUAACAGGAGUAUUAGAUAAAUACACCAAUACAAACACCAACGGCAUAAAUGUUGAAAAUGUUAUAAAAAAUAUAAAAGAGAUUUUAGAUAAAACGUUUGGUAGUGGUUGGAUAUGCUUAAUAGGUGAAUCAUUUUCUUUUAAUAUUUCAGCAAAGGUAUGAUGUUUUUUUUUUUUUUUUUUUUUUUUUUUG
rnacentral:lncRNA from 1 species